CACAAAUGCCAUGGAUCCAAAAGAUUUCCGGUCCUACUGCAUAGAAGGCGCCGUGGCGGUCUUGGGCUCCAUGUUGUUUGGGAUGGUUUUCUGUUGUGCAGUCUGUCUGUGGUGGACGAGAAAACGGUCAAAGUGACCCCGCCUGGACAAGAGCAGACCCCGCAACACGUGUGCCUGGAAAAGCAGCCGCCGGCCAUGGAGCACCGGGGGGAACCAGCUGAUGUCAUCAUUUUGGAUUUCAGUAAAGCUUUCAAUACUGUC